GGAGAAAGUGCAGCAAGUUUACUAGAUCCCAUUUCACAAGUGUAAACUUAAUCUGUGUUUGCAUGUGGGAAAAUGACUAGGAAAGCACAUUUUGGAGGAUCCAGUUGAUGGUGGUGUUAAAAAGAACAAAGCGAAACAAUGCUUUACACAAUGCCAGGGCCCUGGAGAAACCCUUGCUUGUUGUCCAGACCCUCUCAGAGGGAUAUCCCAGGAGCCGAGUCCCCGGAGCAGAUCUGCCAAAUGCAGUGUGUCGCUGGCAGCAGAACUCGUCCCGGCAUCCAAGGAACUUACAUGGCAGGAGGCAACAGUUAUUAUUUUUAAACUCAAGACCAAUAAACUGCAUUUUGAAGGAAGUCAGCAAACAAACAAGGUGGCUCUCCUUGACGUGGAGCUCACACCUGUGUCCUCGUGGCCUCAUCUGUUUUCCUUUUGCCUCCACCUGGAGCUGGAUUUCGGGGGGUGGGGGGCCGGGGCACCCCAAACACCACUGCCGGGACAGCCCCAGAGAUGGGAGAGAAAUCCACUCCAGCCCACAUCUUCCCUUCCUGGUUUAGCCUCUCCAUUUCCUCACCCGACUCAUCAC